GACGAACGCUGGCGGCGUGCCUAAUACAUGCAAGUUGAGCGCUGAAGGUUGGUCCUUGUACCAACUGGAUGAGCAGCGAACGGGUGAGUAACGCGUGGGGAAUCUGCCUUUGAGCGGGGGACAACAUUUGGAAACGAAUGCUAAUACCGCAUAAAAACUUUAAACACAAGUUUUAAGUUUGAAAGAUGCAAUUGCAUCACUCAAAGAUGAUCCCGCGUUGUAUUAGCUAGUUGGUGAGGUAAAGGCUCACCAAGGCGAUGAUACAUAGCCGACCUGAGAGGGUGAUCGGCCACAUUGGGACUGAGACACGGCCCAAACUCCUGCGGGAGGCAGCAGUAGGGAAUCUUCGGCAAUGGACGAAAGUCUGAACGAGCAACGCCGCGUGAGUGAAGGAGGUUUUCGGAUCGUAAAACUCUGUUGGUAGAGAAGAACGUUGGUGAGAGUGGAAAGCUCAUCAAGUGACGGUAACUACAGAGAAAGGGACGGCUAACUACGUG
rnacentral:rRNA from 1 species